rnacentral:lncRNA from 1 species
ACCACAAUGACAAUAGCGCAUUAACCAUUCAACUAGACGUGCGGUGAUACGAAAACGGAAUAGAUGCCAUAAUUAGUAAUCAGUAAUCACAUAACCAAAUCGACUAUUAUGUUUGUAAUUGAAUAACGAUUUUUCACCGUUACUGCAGUCUUAUUAAAAUUUCAAAUUGGUCCUCGUCCUAAUGUUCUGUAGUUCUGUUAGUUAUUGUCAUGUCGACUAAACGACUUGGUGGUCAGGAAAAAGUUCGUGCAAAGCAAAGACUUUUACUGUUGAAGACUAGUGAAAAUUGCCACAAGAUAAAAGAUUUUUUUUCAAAUCAAAAAAAAUCUGUAAUAAAAGAAUUAGGUGAUUGCAGAUAAUCAAAAUUCAAAAGUUUUGUCGCAUGAAGACUGAAUGCCAUCCAACAUUUUAUUUAUUAAUGCACAACUUAAUGAUUAUGAAAACAAUAAUUUAAUUCCAUCUUCAGAGUUACACAAUUCUAAAUGUACAGGGGUUCCUGCAGCUGGAAGUAUUGAAUCAUGUUCUUUAUUAUUGAUGAAAAAUAAUAUAUUGAUCCAUGUAGAUGAUCUAAUAAAUCCCCUUUCAUCUAAUCGAUUUGAAGUUAAUGAACAUAUAGGCUAAGGUCCUUAUCGUCCAAUUUUAGAAAUAUUUCCAAAGCAAAAACAAGGAAGUUGUAUGCGUUCAUUUCAGAAAUCAUGGUAUGAUUUAUAUGACUGGAUUGAAUAUAGUCAAACAGCUGAUGCAGCAUUUUGUUUUCCAUGCCGUUGUUUCAGUGGAAAUUAAAACAAUUGUUUGCAAUUGGAAUUAAUUUUUUCCAAAAUUGGUUUUAAAGGUUGGUACCGAGCACUUCAUAUGUUUAAGAGACAUGAUUUAUCAAAAGCACAUUUUAAUAGUACAAAAUUUCUGGUUCAUUUUAAAAAUUCUAAGUCAAUCGAUGAAAUAAUUGAUAUCAAUAAAACAGUAUGUCUUAAAAAAAGGGAGGCUGAACGUUUGAAAAAUAGAAAAUGAAUGGAAAAAUGAGUUGAUGUAACUAUUUGUCUUACCAAAGGUAGGUGUCCAUUCCGCAGUCAUGAUGAAAGUAUAAAUAGUCAACAAAAAGGUUUAUUUAAAGAGUUUAUUCAAGUAUUAAGUAAAUAUGAUGUUGUUUUAAAAGAUCACAUUGAUUUUGGACCGAAAAAUGCUCAAUACACUAGUAACAGGAUUCAAAACUAUAUCAUUUUUUCAAUUCAUAACGUUCUUAAAAAAAAAAUGUAUAUCACAUUAAAACAAUCGUAUAUUUCAAUAAUUGCUGAUGAAACAUCUGAUGUUGGACAUCAUGAGCAAUUAUCGAUUGUAAUAAGACAUUUUAAUUCUAUGACUAAUCGACCUUUUGAAACAUUUUUGGUUCUAAAACAUAUGAUAUCAGUUAAUGCAGAUUCUAUUUUUCAAACAAUAACUGAUGUUCUUAAGGAUCAAAUGAAAUUAGAAUGGAGUUUGGUUGUUUCUGUAUGUUUUGAUGGGGUGGCUACAAUGGCUGGUAGUAUUUCUGGUGUUUAGGCAAAAUGUAAGGAAGAAAAUAGUAAAAUGUUGUAUGUACACUGUUAUGCUCAUUGUUUAAAUUUAUCUCUAAUUGACUCUAUUUGUGACAAAUCUAGCAAUAAAAAUUCUAACCAAAAUUGAAUUUUGUUUGAUUUUUUUGAAACUGUUCAAUUUGUUUUCUCAUUUAUUGAAGGGAGUCCCAUGCGUCAUGCUAUAUUUGAAAAAAUCGCUAAAGAAAAUGGUGCUCACGUACAAACAUUAAAAUCAUGUUCCAUUACUAGAUGGACUUACUGUGCAGAAGCCGUUAAUGCAAUAAAAUAUAAUUAUGGUGUAAUACUUCAAGCAUUAAAAGCAAUCAAUGUAAAAUGUUCAAUUCCUGAAAUGCGUGCAAAAGGCCAAGGUCUUCUACAUCAACUUCAAACUUUCAAUUUUAUAUUUUGUCUACAUAUAAUGCAAGUUAUCUUACAGCUAGUUUUGAAAGUAAGUUUUGCCUUACAAACACCAAAUUUAGAAUUGUUAAUUGCGGUUAUGAUGAUUAACUCAAACACUCAGUCACUAAUUUCAUUACGGAAUGACUAACAACAUUUUAAAUCAAUAUUUGAAAAUACAAAAAAAAUGUGCUAUGAAAUGUAUAUCGAAAUACCUGAAGUAAAAAGAAAAAAAAUUUCUAAAAACCUAGAAGAUAAAUCUGAAAUACAACAUAUAUUUAAAAACAAAUUUGAUAAAAUGAGAAUUUUGAUAUUUUGUUAAAAUUGGAUAUACUUAUUAAUGGAUUAAAAGAUAGAUUCAAACAAGAUACAUUGAAUUUAAUCAAUGCUAUUGGUCUAUUAGCGAACCUAGAUGAUGAAAAUGAAACCUCAACAUAUAAAACAUUACACACAUAUUCAAUUUCAACUGAAGAUUUAUGCUGUGAAGUUAAUCUUGUGAGAUCUACUGAAGAUAUACCAAAAGGUACAAACUUUGGUUCUGUACACAAACGGCUAGAUUGGUUAAAACAGUAUGGUGGACAUGACAUUUUUAAAAAAAAUUCUCACUGUCUAAAAAUGUUUGUGACAAUUCCAGUGAUUAGUUGUAGCUGUGAACGCAGUUUUUCGAAAUUCAACAUUGUAAAAAACAAAUUAAGGAAUACUAUGUCACAAGAAAAAUUGGAUGUGCUUCUUUUUUUGUUUGUAGAACAAGAACUUUUAAGUGAUAUUGAUUUAAACUAUGUAAUUGAUGAGUUGUAACAUUUGCUUCCUAGUAACCGCAGACUUAUAUUGUAAAUCUAAUUAUUUAUUUUUAUUUUACAUACCUGACUCUUAAGAGUUCCAAUAUUAUGACU